UGCCUCAUCCAGAUGAGAGGGGGCACUGCUGAUUGGUGUCUCGAUUGGUCACUGUGGCUAAAUGAGACACAGGUCAUGCUUGCCAUCACAGUAAGUGCAUUGCAGUGGUGACAGUGAGAUCUGUAACAUUU
rnacentral:snoRNA from 1 species